UGGGGAAUUUUGGACAAUGGGGGAAACCCUGAUCCAGCCAUCCCGCGUGUGCGAUGAAGGCCUUCGGGUUGUAAAGCACUUUUGGCAGGAAAGAAACGUCGCGGGUUAAUACCCCGCGAAACUGACGGUACCUGCAGAAUAAGCACCGGCUAACUACGUGCCAGCAGCCGCGGUAAUACGUAGGGUGCAAGCGUUAAUCGGAGUUACUGGGCGUAAAGCGUGCGCAGGCGGUUCGGAAAGAAAGAUGUGAAAUCCCAGAGCUUAACUUUGGAACUGCAUUUUUAACUACCGGGCUAGAGUGUGUCAGAGGGAGGUGGAAUUCCGCGUGUAGCAGUGAAAUGCGUAGAUAUGCGGAGGAACACCGAUGGCGAAGGCAGCCUCCUGGGAUAACACUGACGCUCAUGCACGAAAGCGUGGGGAGCAAACAGGAUUAGAUACCCUGGUAGUCCACGCCCUAAACGAUGUCAACUAGCUGUUGGGGCCUUCGGGCCUUGGUAGCGCAAAGCUAACGCGUGAAGUUGACCGCCUGGGGAGUACGGUCGCAAGAUUAAAACUCAAAUGAAUUGACGGGGUCAUAGCUGUUUUCCU
rnacentral:rRNA from 1 species